CUAAAUGGCAGAAUAUUGCAUUAGAAUUAGAAUCUAAUUACCUAAU
rnacentral:tRNA from 1 species